rnacentral:rRNA from 1 species
AGUGAGCGCUGGCGGUAGGCCUAACACAUGCAAGUCGAAGGGCAGCACAGUAAGAGCUUGCUCUUACGGGUGGCGAGUGGCGGACGGGUGAGGAAUACAUCGGAAUCUACUUUUUCGUGGGGGAUAACGUAGGGAAACUUACGCUAAUACCGCAUACGACCUACGGGUGAAAGCAGGGGAUCUUCGGACCUUGCGCGAUUGAAUGAGCCGAUGUCGGAUUAGCUAGUUGGCGGGGUAAAGGCCCACCAAGGCGACGAUCCGUAGCUGGUCUGAGAGGAUGAUCAGCCACACUGGAACUGAGACACGGUCCAGACUCCUACGGGAGGCAGCAGUGGGGAAUAUUGGACAAUGGGCGCAAGCCUGAUCCAGCCAUACCGCGUGGGUGAAGAAGGCCUUCGGGUUGUAAAGCCCUUUUGUUGGGAAAGAAAAGCAGCAGGUUAAUACCCCGCUGUUCUGACGGUACCCAAAGAAUAAGCACCGGCUAACUUCGUG